AGUGAACGCUGGCGGUAGGCCUAACACAUGCAAGUCGAACGGCAGCACAGUAAGAGCUUGCUCUUACGGGUGGCGAGUGGCGGACGGGUGAGGAAUACAUCGGAAUCUACUUUUUCGUGGGGGAUAACGUAGGGAAACUUUCGCUAAUACCGCAUACGACCUACGGGUGAAAGCAGGGGUUCUUCGGACCUUGCGCGAUUGAAUGAGCCGAUGUCGGAUUAGCUAGUUGGCGGGGUAAAGGCCCACCAAGGCGACGAUCCGUAGCUGGUCUUAGAGGAUGAUCCGCCACACUGGAACUGAGACACGGUCCAGACUCCUACGGGAGGCAGCAGUGGGGAAUAUUGGACAAUGGGCGCAAGCCUGAUCCAGCCAUACCGCGUGGGUGAAGAAGGCCUUCGGGUUGUAAAGCCCUCUUGUUGGGAAAGAAAAGCAGCAGGUUAAUACCCCGCUGUUCUGACGGUACCCAAAGAAUAAGCACCGGCUAACUUCGUG
rnacentral:rRNA from 1 species